UACGUAGGGACCAAGCGUUGUUCGGAUUUACUGGGCGUAAAGGGCGCGUAGGCGGCAAUUCAAGUCAGCUGUGAAAUCUCCGGGCUUAACUCGGAACGGUCAGCUGAUACUGCUUUGCUAGAGUGCAGAAGGGGCAAUCGGAAUUCUUGGUGUAGCGGUGAAAUGCGCAGAUAUCAGGAGGAACACCAAUUGCGAAGGCAGCUCGCUGGGACGUAACUGACGCUGAGGCGCGAAAGCGUGGGGAGCGAACAGG
rnacentral:rRNA from 1 species